AGAAAUAGGGGUAAGGAGCUUCUUCUAGAAUUAGAACAAAGGAUAUUGGAAGAUAAUUCUGUAGCUCAGCAUCUCUAAACCUAAAAUCCCAAAUAUACAAAAAACGAAUGGGAAGUUAGAUCGAAGCUAACAUGAUGCAGAUGAGAGUGGAGAUUAGACAUCAACCAUAAGUCAUGAAAUAAAUAUUUCAAAGGAUUCUGACACCUCUGAGGUGCAGCAUGUGGUGGUGCCGAAUAGAAGGCUUACUCUCUGGGGUGUAAAGCAAAGACAAGGUAGCCAGAAGUUAUGAAAACUAAGGUAUCAAAAGCAAUUUAGCAAUGUUGCUGUAGCCAUGUUGGUCCCAAAAUAUCAGAAACACAAGGGUAUAUCUACACUACCUGCCGGAUAGCGAUCAAUCUAUUGCGAAUCGAUGUAUCGCGUGUAGUGUAGACAUAAUAAAUCGAUCCCCGAUCACUCUCCCGUCGACUGCUGAACUCCAGCUCGGCGAGAGGUGGAAGCAAAGUCAAUGGGGGAGCGGCGGCUGUCGAUCCCGCGCCG